GGGAGAAGGGCAAGGCCUGCCAGAGCCAUGUUUGCCAGACCCAGGCUGGCUGGAAUCCCUUCAUCUGGGAUUAAAGGUGUGAGCAACCAUGCCAGCCCAUGAGAGAGUUUUGUAAGAGCAGUGGUUACAGGAAAGGCAAGUUGUGAUCAGAUUGGAACAUUUAAACAUAUCAGAGUGACUGUUACCCUGCAGGACUGUCAGUGUAUAUGUGGGGUGGGGAGAAUGCACAAGUGUUUGAACAAGAAGCAGCUUGGCCCUGUUGGAGAGUCUGAAGGAGGAGAGGCAGGAGGCACAGGAAAUCUGUGCUUUUCACGGGGCCUCUCCAUGAACCUGGAGCUUGCCAAUUCCUGCUGGUCUAACCAGCCAUCUCUUCCCCAGGAAGAUCCAGUUUCUGACUCCAGGGUGUUGAAGAUGACAGGUGGCUGCCACUCCUGCAGAAUGAGUGUGGUUUCUGAAGAUCUGAACUCUAGCCUUCACAUUUGUGGAGCAAGAGCUUAACUAGCUACCCCUCUCCAUGGCCUUAAGAUGCUCAUUUAAGAAUAAAGACUCAAUGAAGAGGAGAGAAACCUGCCCUCUCUAAUCAUAAUGGGAGACCGCAGGAUUUAAACUACAAAACCAAAGCUAGCACAUUGCUGGGACCUGCUUACUCUAAAUGCAAGACAAAUAUACAGGAAGAAAGGUGACCUUACAAACCCAAGCCCAUAAUAAGAUCAUUGUACUUCUCUGAGGCCAGACCCUAUAUUUAUGCAAACUUUAGAGUGUAUCUGAAUAGGCCAAUUGCCUACUCUGUAGGAGAUCUGAAGGCACAGUGGUGGGGUGGAAUGGAGGCAUAAAGAAAACAUUAAAGAGGUAAAAAGUAAAAUUACUAUUUGAAGGUUUACCUUGGUUCAUAUCAUUUUGGGUGGCUGGCUAUGAAUUUCCUUGACCUUGGUGGGGUGGGUGUUCUAAGAAACCACUAGAAAUUGUGAAAUCUCAAACUUUGCAGUGAGCU
rnacentral:lncRNA from 1 species